AACACAGCUAUUAUUUACUUGAUCCUGACAUCCUACGUGGAUAACUGUGGUAAUUCUAGAGCUAAUACAUGCACCAAAGCUCCGAUUUAUGACGAGCGCAUCUAUUAGAUUAAAACCAAUCGGGCUUCGGCUCGUUUUCUGGUGACUCUGAAUAGCUAUGGCUGAUCGCAUGGUCUUGUACCGGCGACGUGUCUAUCAAGUGUCUGCCUUAUCAACUUUCGAUGGUAGUUUAUGUGCCUACCAUGGUUGUUACGGGUAACGGAGAAUAAGGGUUCGACUCCGGAGAGGGAGCCUGAGAAACGGCUACCACAUCCAAGGAAGGCAGCAGGCGCGCAAAUUACCCACUCUCGGCAUGAGGAGGUAGUGACGAAAAAUAACGAGACCGUUCUCUUUGAGGCCGGUUAUCGGAAUGGGUACAAUUUAAACCCGUUAACGAGGAUCUAUGAGAGGGCAAGUCUGGUGCCAGCAGCCGCGGUAAUUCCAGCUCUCAAAGUGUAUAUCGUCAUUGCUGCGGUUAAAAAGCUCGUAGUUGGAUCUGCGCCUGGGAACUCGGUCCACCAUCUCGGUGAGAACUGGGCUUCCCGGGCUACAUUUUGCUGGUUUUCCCUGCAUUGCCUUUACCGGUCGUGUAGGGUGGCUAGCGAGUUUACUUUGAAAAAAUUAGAGUGCUUAAAGCGGGCUUUAAGUCUGAAUAUUCGUGCAUGGAAUAAUAGAAUAGGAUCUCGGUUCUAUUUUGUUGGUUUUCUGAACUGAGAUAAUGGUUAAGAGGGACAGACGGGGGCAUUCGUAUCGCUACGUGAGAGGUGAAAUUCUUGGACCGUAGCGAGACGCACGACUGCGAAAGCAUUUGCCAAGAAUGUCUCCAUUAAUCAAGAACGAAAGUCAGAGGUUCGAAGCAG
rnacentral:rRNA from 1 species